CAGCCGCCGCGGGAAUACGUAGGGUGCGAGCGUUAAUCGGAAUUACUGGGCGUAAAGCGUGCGCAGGCGGUUGUGUAAGACAGGUGUGAAAUCCCCGGGCUUAACCUGGGAACUGCGCUUGUGACUGCACAGCUAGAGUAUGGCAGAGGGGGGUGGAAUUCCACGUGUAGCAGUGAAAUGCGUAGAGAUGUGGAGGAACACCGAUGGCGAAGGCAGCCCCCUGGGCCUGCACUGACGCUCAUGCACGAAAGCGUUGGGAGCAAACAGGAUUAGAUACCCGUGUAGUCCCUGUCUCUUAUAC
rnacentral:rRNA from 1 species